GAUGAAGAACGCAGCGAAAUGCGAUAAGUAGUGUGAAUUGCAGAAUUCAGUGAAUCAUCGAAUCUUUGAACGCACAUUGCGCCCCUUGGUAUUCCAUGGGGCAUGCCUGUUCGAGCGUCAUUUGUACCUUCAAGCUCUGCUUGGUGUUGGGUGUUUGUCUCGCCUCUGCGCGUAGACUCGCCUCAAAACAAUUGGCAGCCGGCGUAUUGAUUUCGGAGCGCAGUACAUCUCGCGCUUUGCACUCAUAACGACGACGUCCAAAAGUACAUUUUUACACUCUUGACCUCGGAUCAGGUAGGGAUACCCGCCGAACUUAAGCAUAUCAAUAAGCGGAGGA
rnacentral:misc_RNA from 1 species